rnacentral:rRNA from 1 species
UUGCCAGACUCCUACGGGAGGCAGCAGUAGGGAAUCUUUCACAAUGGGCGAAAGCCUGAUGGAGCAACGCCGCGUGCAGGAUGAAGGCCUUCGGGUUGUAAACUGCUUUUAUAAGCGAGAAAUAUGAUGGUAACUUAUGAAUAAGGAUCGGCUAACUACGUGCCAGCAGCCGCGGUAAUACGGAGGAUGCGAGCGUUAUCCGGAUUUAUUGGGUUUAAAGGGUGCGUAGGCGGGCUGUUAAGUCAGCGGUGAAAGGUCGGGGCUCAACCCCGGCCUGCCGUUGAAACUGGCGGCCUCGAGUGGGCGAGAAGUAUGCGGAAUGCGUGGUGUAGCGGUGAAAUGCAUAGAUAUCACGCAGAACUCCGAUUGCGAAGGCAGCAUACCGGCGCCCAACUGACGCUGAAGCACGAAAGCGUGGGUAUCGAACAGGAUUAGAUACCCUGGUAAA